GGAUGCGAUCAUACCAGCACUAAAGCACCGAAUUCCAUCAGAACUCCAAAGUUAAGCGUGCUUGGGCGAGAGUUGAACUAGGAUUGGUGACCUCCUAGGAAGUCCUCGUGUUGCAUUCC
rnacentral:rRNA from 1 species